GACGAACGCUGGCGGCGUGCUUAACACAUGCAAGUCGAACGGAAAGGCCCUGCUUUUGUUGGGUGCUCGUUUGGCGAACGGGUGAGUGACACGUGAGUAACCUGCCCUUGACUUUGUGAUAACUUCAGGAAACUGGGGCUAAUACCGGAUAUGAGCUCCUGCUGCGUGUGGGGGGUUGGAAAGUUUCGGCGUUUGGGGAUGGACUCGCGGGUUAUCAGCUUGUUGGGGUGGUAGUGGCUUACCAAGGAUUUGACGGGUAGCCGGCAUGAGAGGGUGACCAGGCACCUUGCGCCUGCGAUACGGCCCAGAAGGCUACGGGAGGCAGCAGUGGGGAAUAUUGCAGAAUGGGCGGAAGCCUGAUGCAGCAACGCUGCGUGCGGGAUAACCGCUUUUGGGUUGUAAACAGAUUUCGAAUGUGCCGAAGCGUGAGUGACGGUAAUGGGUAAAGAAGCAACGGCUAACUACGUG
rnacentral:rRNA from 1 species